AUGGUUCAGUGACACGACCUCCUCUAUAAACUAUAAAUUUCUAUAAAGUUUUUAGAGGAGGUCAUGUUCAGUGGUGACAAACAUGAGCUUACUCACCUUACAGAUCGGCCAGUGUGGCAAUCAGCUGGAUUUUGAGUUCUUUAACGUUUUGGCGCAAGACGUAGGUGUUGGUGAGCCCGAGUCGCGCCGUGACAACGAGUACUACAGCGCGUCGGCAGAGAGGUUUUUCACUGUUGACCCCCGAGGUGGCCUUAUUGCUAGUGCCGUCCUGGUUGACACGGAAAGAAAGGCCGUCGGCAGAGUGUUGAAGGAUGCCUGCUACAGCGACAAGUGGCACUACGCCAGUGGAGCAGCUUACACCAGUUCACAGGGUGCUGUAACAACUGGGCACUGGGUUAUUUCGAACAAGCUCAGAAAGGCAUGGACGAGAUCUGCAACCUUGUGAGGCACCACGCCGAGCGACGGGACUGGCUGGAGGGCUUCCUGCCCAUUUUUUCUCUUGGUGGCAAGACAGGCAGCGGUUUGGGAACCAAACUCAUAGAGACGCCGAGAGACAACUAUCCAAAGACUCCUGUUGUAACAGCGGUGGUGUGGCCGUUCAAGUCUGGAGAAGUGGCAGUGCAGGCGUACAACGUGCUGCUGUCUCUGGCACAUUUGCAAGAUUGUGCAGAUGCCCUGCUUGUAUUAAGCAAUGACUCUCUGCACCGAGUAGUCACCCAGCGGUGGGCACUUCGUAGCACCUUCCUGGUCGAGAUGAAUGCAUUGGCUGCCAGACACUUGGCUUGCCUGCUUCAACCCAGCCAAGCCAAGAGACAUUGCUACUGAUCUGGGAUGUUUUGGAUCUCUGAAGCAAGUGAGUCUGCUGCAGGUGCCCCAGGAGCCACCUGCAAUGACGGCCUUCAGCUGUAGCUCCUGGCAGGGUCUGGUGCGGGCGCUCCGCAAGAUGCAGAGGUGCCACAGUGCUACUGAUGAAGCCAUGGGCACUGAAAACAGGCCUCCCACAUUUGUUGCCUCACUGGCUGUUGGACGGGGUGAAGGGCUGUCAGCCCUCAACGCCACUGACCUUGCCCCUCGCCGUGCACCUUUCGUGGAAGAAGGUCGUGAGUUUAAUGUAUGGAUGAAUCCUCACAAAUUUAUGGGUUCCACUCGUACCCUGUUGCUGGCUAGCAACAGUGAUGCCUGUGUUCCUGAGUUGGACUUGUUAGUAAGUCGAGCAUGGACUGCAGGCCGAGGACAUGUACGAUGCAUUUGUGCGAGUUGAACAAGCCAUUUCUUGCUACAAACAACUGUCUCAAUAACAAAGUCAGAAGUUGAGUCUGCUGGUACAUGUGCAAACUCAACAUGCUGAAAACUUGGCGAGGUGAAAUAACAAAAAUAUGAUCUCCAGCAGUCUUCCAGAAAAUGUGUGAAUACCAUCAAAAGAAAUCAACUUUCUUAGGUGGAAGAAUAUCAUAAGGUAAGUUUCUUCUUCAUUUAACUUUCUGCAUUGGUUUUCUGGCAGUUUUUUAUCAUGUAGAGGUAUCUCUCGUAACCACCCACUGAAAGUGCGCCAGUUCGCUGCUAGAAUUAGCAUUUUUAAAUAUUCAUUUUUUUUCGCAAUCAAUAGAGCAGUGGAAAAAACUACGUCAAAAAAUUGUAGCCGCGUCCAGAGAAACAUUUACCAUUGCGCUUCGUAGUCACUUUUUUUGGUAGCCUGAUUUCACUUUCGUUUGUUCCUUCUAGCGGUCUACGGUUAAAUUUGUUUGGUUUUUUUUUUGCUUUUUUGUCUUCUUUUUCUGAUCUCUGCUGGCUUGCGUGUGUGUGUUUACACAUAUUUUGCUGUGUAUUUUCCUUCACGUCAAUUCUGCAUUUUUCUUUCUUAUUUUAUUUAUUGUUCUUAAAUGGAUUACUUUUUGUAUAUGUAUUUUAAAUGUUAUCUCCCUCCUGCAAUAAUGCCCCAUGUGGGAUCCUGUAGGUAUGGUAAAUAAAUAAAUAAAUAAAUAGGAGCUAAGUUAGUUCUAGCCUCCUUUUGUAUAGUACUCACUUCAACUAUAUAAAAUAUUAAAAAAAUCACCUACCUUAAAAGCAUUGUGUGGGGCUUUAGCAAUAACACUUUUCUCCGUGAACAUCUUGUCAUUUGCUAUUCAAUGUCUCGUGUUUGCACCUUUAACUUGUUUCUUAUGUACUAGCUCCUUAGUUAGGUGAAACCAGGUAGAGUCGUAAAGAGCAUAAAAUGUGUAAAAACAUGUCACUACUAUAUCUUUUUUUUUUCUGAACAUACUUAACCAUCCUUUAUUUUUUACUUGUAUCUAUAAAUUAUAUUUAGUAUCAAGCUAUAUAACCAAAGGUAAGUUUUCUACAGUUUCAUGUUCCAUUCGACACAAAUUUCAGACAUUCAGCUUAUGGUU